UACGUAGGCAGCGAGCGUUGUUCGGAGUUACUGGGCGUGAAGGGUGUGUAGGCGGUCCCCUAAGUUUGGUGUGAAAUCUCCCGGCUUAACCGGGAGGGUGCGCCGAAAACUGGAGGGCUAGAGUGCGGGAUGGGAGAGUAGAAUUCCUGGUGUAGCGGUGAAAUGCGUAGAUAUCAGGAGGAAUACCGGUGGUGUAGACGGCUCUCUGGACCGCGACUGACGCUGAGACACGAAAGCGUGGGUAGCAAACAGG
rnacentral:rRNA from 1 species